CAGUCGCCGCGGGAAUACAGAGGGUGCGAGCGUUAAUCGGAUUUACUGGGCGUAAAGCGUGCGUAGGCGGCUUCUUAAGUCGGAUGUGAAAUCCCUGAGCUUAACUUAGGAAUUGCAUUCGAUACUGGGAAGCUAGAGUAUGGGAGAGGAUGGUAGAAUUCCAGGUGUAGCGGUGAAAUGCGUAGAGAUCUGGAGGAAUACCGAUGGCGAAGGCAGCCAUCUGGCCUAAUACUGACGCUGAGGUACGAAAGCAUGGGGAGCAAACAGGAUUAGAUACCCCCGUAGUCCCUGUCUCUUAUAA
rnacentral:rRNA from 1 species